AUUGAACGCUGGCGGCAGGCUUAACACAUGCAAGUCGAACGAUGAUUAUCUAGCUUGCUAGAUAUGAUUAGUGGCGGACGGGUGAGUAACAUUUAGGAAUCUGCCUAGUAGUGGGGGAUAGCUCGGGGAAACUCGAAUUAAUACCGCAUACGACCUACGGGUGAAAGGGGGCGCAAGCUCUUGCUAUUAGAUGAGCCUAAAUCAGAUUAGCUAGUUGGUGGGGUAAAGGCCCACCAAGGCGACGAUCUGUAACUGGUCUGAGAGGAUGAUCAGUCACACCGGAACUGAGACACGGUCCGGACUCCUACGGGAGGCAGCAGUGGGGAAUAUUGGACAAUGGGGGCAACCCUGAUCCAGCCAUGCCGCGUGUGUGAAGAAGGCCUUUUGGUUGUAAAGCACUUUAAGCAGGGAGGAGAGGCUAAUGGUUAAUACCCAUUAGAUUAGACGUUACCUGCAGAAUAAGCACCGGCUAACUCUGUGCCAGCAGCCGCGGUAAUACAGAGGGUGCGAGCGUUAAUCGGAAUUACUGGGCGUAAAGCGAGUGUAGGUGGCUCAUUAAGUCACAUGUGAAAUCCCCGGGCUUAACCUGGGAACUGCAUGUGAUACUGGUGGUGCUAGAAUAUGUGAGAGGGAAGUAGAAUUCCAGGUGUAGCGGUGAAAUGCGUAGAGAUCUGGAGGAAUACCGAUGGCGAAGGCAGCUACCUGGCACAAUAUUGACACUGAGAUUCGAAAGCGUGGGUAGCAAACAGGAUUAGAUACCCUGGUAGUCCACGCCGUAAACGAUGUCUACUAGCCGUUGGGGUCCUUGAGACUUUAGUGGCGCAGUUAACGCGAUAAGUAGACCGCCUGGGGAGUACGGCCGCAAGGUUAAAACUCAAAUGAAUUGACGGGGGCCCGCACAAGCGGUGGAGCAUGUGGUUUAAUUCGAUGCAACGCGAAGAACCUUACCUGGUCUUGACAUAGUGAGAAUCCUGCAGAGAUGCGGGAGUGCCUUCGGGAAUUCACAUACAGGUGCUGCAUGGCUGUCGUCAGCUCGUGUCGUGAGAUGUUGGGUUAAGUCCCGCAACGAGCGCAACCCUUUUCCUUAUUUGCCAGCGGGUUAAGCCGGGAACUUUAAGGAUACUGCCAGUGACAAACUGGAGGAAGGCGGGGACGACGUCAAGUCAUCAUGGCCCUUACGACCAGGGCUACACACGUGCUACAAUGGUAGGUACAGAGGGUUGCUACACAGCGAUGUGAUGCUAAUCUCAAAAAGCCUAUCGUAGUCCGGAUUGGAGUCUGCAACUCGACUCCAUGAAGUCGGAAUCGCUAGUAAUCGCAGAUCAGAAUGCUGCGGUGAAUACGUUCCCGGGCCU
rnacentral:rRNA from 1 species